AUUGAACGCUGGCGGAAUGCUUUACACAUGCAAGUCGAACGGCAGCACGGACUUCGGUCUGGUGGCGAGUGGCGAACGGGUGAGUAAUGUAUCGGAACGUGCCCAGUCGUGGGGGAUAACGUAGUGAAAAUUACGCUAAUACCGCAUACGAUCUAUGGAUGAAAGCGGGGGAUCGCAAGACCUCGAGCGAUUGGAGCGGCCGAUAUCAGAUUAGGUAGUUGGUGGGGUAAAGGCCCACCAAGCCAACGAUCUGUAGCAGGUCUGAGAGGACGACAAGCCACACGGGAACUGAGACACGGUCCAGACUCCGACGGGAGGCAGCAGUGGGGAAUUUUGGACAAGGGGCGAAAGCCUGAUCCAGCCAUUCCGCGUGCAGGAUGAAGGCCCUCGGGUUGUAAACUGCUUUUGUACAGAACGAAAAGGUUUCUACUAAUACUAGGAGCUCAUGACGGUACUGUAAGAAUAAGCACCGGCUAACUACGUGCCAGCAGCCGCCGUAA
rnacentral:rRNA from 1 species